GGAUUAUGGCUUAGUGGUAGAGCACUUGCCUCAUACACAUGAGGCACUGGGUUCGAUCCUCAGCACCA
rnacentral:tRNA from 1 species